rnacentral:lncRNA from 1 species
GGUACCACAGGUGCUUGAAUGAUUAGUCUGUGGGUUUUUCUCCACACCAUGCCAGCUCGUAUUUCCUCCUUGGAACGCUCUGGAUUGUUCUCUGCAUUUGUGCAGAGUUCACAGUUGCUCUGCAGGCAAGCCUUGUCUGGAAGGGCCACACUGCUCUGUUUACCUUUGCACCUUUACGCCAUCUCCGUUUCUACUCCGUUUUUACUCUUCCGACACUUUCCUGUGUUCAGUCAGCUUUUAAUUAUUCUGUGGCCAUUUCUGGUUUUAGUUUUGAAAUGUUGAUUCCUUUUAUUCUUAAUUUAUUUUGAUGUAUUUAUUUUGCAUGCUCAGGCAUGUCGAAUUCAGGGCCUUGGAGCUGUCUUCCUUCUCCCUGUAGUUGAUUCUCUAGGGAGGAACACUGUAUCUUACCUGUCAACUAAAGCUUUUGUUUGGCUGGUUCGUUUUUCGAAUUUUGUUUUCUUCAGUCCUCAAUAAGGUCUUUGAUAGUUACUGAAUCUAAAAAUUCAUCAUGUCCCUCGGGUUUUAUGAUCCUUAUCUACCUUGUAAAAACAAAACAAAAUACUUAUUUGAGGGCUGAAGAGAUGGCUCAGCCUUUAAGAGCGCUGUCUGUUCCUCCAGAGGACCCAGCUCUCUUACAGUCAUCUGUACCUCUUGUUCCAGGGGACCCAGUGUUCUUGUCUCAUGGUCACUGGGCACACAAGUGGUGCAUAGACAUAUGUUCAGGAAAAACACCCAUACACACAAAAGUAAAAGUUGAGUCUUAAACCCAUAAUAAAACCCAUUAAUGGGGUUGGGGGUAAAGUUGCGAUGAAGCUAAAAUCUGUGCGUAUCACCAGAUCUUGCCUCCUUGCCCUGAAUGCUUCCUGAUAAACAUUAGACGCGGGCUACUGCCCCACCCCCACCCCGUUCCUUUUCUUGCCCUGUUCCAAGCUAACCUGGAGUGUACCCCUCCAUCCCUCCUGCAGGAUCCUAGCCACAUCUGAAGCCAUGAA